UUGGAGGGCAAGUCUGGUGCCAGCAGCCGCGGUAAUUCCAGCUCCAAUAGCGUAUAUUAAAGUUGUUGCAGUUAAAAAGCUCGUAGUUGAAUUUCGGGGUCAGUAGGUUGGUCAUGCCACAGGUAUGUACUGGUCUCACUGAUUCCUCCUUCCUGAUGAACUGUAAUGCCAUUAAUUUGGUGUUGCAGGGAAUCUGGACUGUUACCUUGAAAAAAUUAGAGUGUUUAAAGCAGGCUUACGCUUGAAUACAUUAGCAUGGAAUAAUGAAAUAGGACGUUUGAACCUAUUUUGUUGGUUUCUAGGAUCGACGUAAUGAUUAAUAGGGAUAGUUGGGGGCAUUAGUAUUCAAUUGUCAGAGGUGAAAUUCUUGGAUUUAUUGAAGACUAACUACUGCGAAAGCAUUUGCCAAGGAUGUUUUCAUUAAUCAAGAACGGAAGUUAGGGGAUCGAAGACGACCAGAUACCGUCGUAGUCUUAACCAUAAACUAUGCCGACUAGGGAUCGGAUGAUGUUAAUUUUUUAAUGACUCAUUCGGCGCCUUACGGGAAACCAAAGUGUUUGGGUUC
rnacentral:rRNA from 1 species